GAUGAACGCUGGCGGCGUGCCUAAUACAUGCAAGUCGAGCGAACAGACGAGGAGCUUGCUCCUUUGACGUUAGCGGCGGACGGGUGAGUAACACGUGGAUAACCUACCUAUAAGACUGGGAUAACUUCGGGAAACCGGAGCUAAUACCGGAUAAUAUUUCGAACCGCAUGGUUCGAUAGUGAAAGAUGGCUUUGCUGUCACUUAUAGAUGGACCUGCGCCGCAUUAGCUAGUUGGUAAGGUAACGGCUUACCAAGGCAACGAUACGUAGCCGACCUGAGAGGGUGAUCGGCCACACUGGAACUGAGACACGGUCCAGACUCCUACGGGAGGCAGCAGUAGGGAAUCUUCCGCAAUGGGCGAAAGCCUGACGGAGCAACGCCGCGUGAGUGAUGAAGGUCUUCGGAUCGUAAAACUCUGUUAUUAGGGAAGAACAAAUGUGUAAGUAACUGUGCACGUCUUGACGGUACCUAAUCAGAAAGCCACGGCUAACUACGUG
rnacentral:rRNA from 1 species